rnacentral:rRNA from 2 species
AACCCAACAGCUAGCCUCA